AAAGGAGAAGUUUACACAAUAUUAAACUUACAAUUUAAUGAUCCUUUUAUGCUUCUAGCGGAAGGCUCCUUUU
rnacentral:tRNA from 1 species